AUUGAACGCUGGCGGCAUGCCUAACACAUGCAAGUCGAACGCGAAAGCACCUUCGGGUGUUAGUAGAGUGGCGGACGGGUGAGUAAUACUUGGGAAUCUGCCUAGUAGUGGGGGAUAACUCGGGGAAACUCGAGCUAAUACCGCAUACGCCCUACGGGGGAAAGAUUUAUCGCUAUUAGAUGAGCCCAAGUCAGAUUAGCUAGUUGGUAGGGUAAAGGCCUACCAAGGCGACGAUCUGUAGCUGGUCUGAGAGGACGAACAGCCACACUGGGACUGAGACACGGCCCAGACUCCUACGGGAGGCAGCAGUGGGGAAUAUUGGACAAUGGGCGAAAGCCUGAUCCAGCAAUGCCGCGUGUGUGAAGAAGGCCUGCGGGUUGUAAAGCACUUUCAGUUGGGAAGAUUAUGACGUUACCAACAGAAGAAGCACCGGCUAACUCCG
rnacentral:rRNA from 1 species